GGAUGCGAUCAUACCAGCACUAAAGCAUCGGAUCCCAUCAGAACUCCGAAGUUAAGCGUGCUUGGGCGAGAGUAGUACUAUGAUGGGUGACCUCCUGGGAAGUCCUCGUGUUGCAUUCC
rnacentral:rRNA from 1 species